rnacentral:lncRNA from 1 species
CACUAGCUAGCUUUAAUUAACACAGUUCACUUAAGAUUGCACCCAAGGCUUCGUUAUCCCUAAUCCCGCCUUUAAACCCGCAGUUAUAGAUUCCUCUUAUAUUUUAAGAGUGGUAUUAUUCAACAAUAACCUAAAUAUGCACUCUCUCCCGAGUUAUGCACACUAAAUAGGUACAGCUAAUUGAGGAUCCUGUCAAUUAACUACAACAAGAACAUAGUUGAAUAAAUAAAGAUUGAAACUAAGCUUGUUUAUUGAUCACGCCCAACUAUGCCUUAUAAAAAGGACAAUGCGGUCGUUGCAAAUAUAAUCCGGUUUACAAGUCCGGAGUCGAAUCCCACAGAGAGUUAACCUAUCAAUCACAAUCUUUAGACCCACUAAACUCUUCAGAACCAGCUUCCCAAAUGUUUGAAUCACAAGUUGAUGGUUUCUUUAGUAACUAAGAUUGCAAGUAAAUUAAACAGGCUGUAAACUAAAACGCUAAUGUUGUAAACAAUGAUGAGAUAAAGCUAAGGUAAAGAUUUCCCCUAUUGAUGGAAUCCCUUCUGUUUAUGCUUCAUAUAAAUAUACCAACACUUCUCUAUCAAUCAUGAACGCUCGUCUUACCAUAAAUCUCUCCCGAGUAAUCACAGUAAUAUACUAUUGCACUCUCCCGAGAUACACUAGCUAGCUUUAAUUAACACAGUUCACUUAAGAUUGCGCUCAAGGCUUCGUUAUCCCUAAUCCCACCUUUAAACCCGCAGUUAUAGAUUUCUCUUAUACUUUAGGAGUGGUGUUAUUCAACAAUAACCUAAAUAUGCACUCUCUUCCGAGUUAUGCACACUAAAUAGGCACAGCUAAUUGAGGAUCCUGUCAAUUAACUACAACAAGAACAUAGUUGAAUAAAUAAAGAUUGAAACUAGCAAUUUGUAUUCACAUAAACAAGAAGUUCAUCCCCCAAUAGGUUCCAUCAAAACCUUAGACAAAAGAUUUAGCUACUCAUAACUAUGGGUAAACAAACUAAGAUAAGAUCCAUCAUAAACUAGCAAUCAAAAUCAAAGAAAAGAAGAAAGAUGUUUUGGGUGAUCUCUCACAAUU